UACGUAGGUGGCAAGCGUUGUUCGGAAUUAUUGGGCGUAAAGGGCGCGUAGGCGGUUUGUUAAGUCGGUCGUGAAAGCCCGGGGCUCAACCCCGGAGGGUCGACCGAUACUGGCAGACUAGAGUACAGAAGAGGUAACUGGAAUUCCCGGUGUAGCGGUGAAUGCGUAGAUAUCGGGAGGAACACCAGAGGCGAAGGCGGGUUGCUGGGCCAACACUGACGCUGAUGCGCGAAAGCCAGGGGAGCAAACGGG
rnacentral:rRNA from 1 species